rnacentral:rRNA from 1 species
CCUACGGGAUGCAGCAGUGAGGAAUCUUCGGCAAUGGACGCAAGUCUGACCCAGCCAUGCCGCGUGCAGGAAGACGGCUCUAUGAGCUUUAAACUGCUUUUUUACGAGGGUAAACGCAGAUUCGCGUAUCUGCCUGCAAUUAUCGUACGUAUCCGGAUCGGCUAACACCGUGCCAGCCGCCGAGGUAAUACGGAGGAUUCAAGCGUUAUCCGGAUUUAUUGGGUUUAAAGUGUGCGUAGGCGGUCGGAUAAGUUAGAGGUGAAAGCCCGAGGCUCAACUGCGGAAUUGCCUCGGAGACUGUUCGGCUAGAGAGUAGAUGCGGUAGGCGGAAUGUAUGGUGUAGCGGUGAAAUGCUUAGAGAUCAGACAGAACACCGGUGGCGAAGGCAGCUUACCAAGCUACAUCUGACGUUGAGGCACGAAAGCGUGGGGAGCAAACAGGAUUAGAUACCCCAGUAGUC